rnacentral:tRNA from 1 species
GGAGGGUUAGUCCUAACUGGCAAGGCAGCGGACUUGAAAUCCGCCGGGUGAAUAACCCAUGGGGGUUCGAAUCCCUCACCCUCCG